ensembl:lncRNA
AGGUUGUAAUGGUCCUUGAAUGGCUGCUAGGACCCGUGCAGUUCAUACCUCAGCACUAAAGCAGGAGACGGGUUGGUCUAAGGUCCCGUUGCGAGGCACUGGUAGAUAAAGCACACUCCAGACAAUGGCCUGUUCUGCUCAUGCAGAUGAUGGUGUGCAAUAUCAAAGCCAAAUGAGAUGGCUGCCAAUUAGGGAGGGCUUCCAAGUGCAUUUCAAUGCAAACUCGCACCGCUUUUGCAGCUGGGCUGCCCUGCCUCACUUGGAUGCAUCAACAAAGCUUGAAGUGGCCACUCUAAUCUGGUUAAGUAUUGCCUGGUUGGGGAGAAAUUAGCCGAAUUCUUUUAACUUUUCAAACAAACAUAAUACAGUCAAACUUGCUGGAUGAGAAUCAAUUACAUGAACUGAAUAUAGGUUCGGGGGGGAGAUAUCAUUUCAUUUCUGGAAAUCAUCUAAUACGUCUAUUCAGUGGAAUAUGCCUGUAGUAUCACAGCGAAGCCAUAUUUCAGUCCAGUGAAAUGAAGGAAGCAGUGGAGUAUCUGUUGAAACACUGCCAGAAUAUGUUACACAAAUCUUUUUCACCCCGUGGUAAUAUUGCCAUUAUCUGCUUUACUUCAAAAAUACUUAUAUCUUGCCUAAAUCCGCGAGACACUGUGAGGAAUAAUGGGAUCAUCAUGCUUUCUCAAAGUGAUCGGUUGGAUUGGUGAAUAGAAACUAUUGCCCUACUUGUAUCAGUCUAUUAAACAACAUCUGUCUAAAUAGAAAAAACAGAAACCUAAUGUGAUUCAAUAGAACGCAAUAAAUCUUCCUAAAGUGCGAUACCUUUGCGUCACGUGU